rnacentral:rRNA from 1 species
AACGAACGCUGGCGGCAUGCCUAACUCAUGCCAGUCGAACGAGACCUUCGGGUCUAGUGGCGCACGGGUGCGUAACGCGUGGGAACCUGCCCUUAGGUUCGGAAUAACUCCCCGAAAGGGGUGCUAAUACCGGAUAAUGUCUUCGGACCAAAGAUUUAUCGCCUUUGGAUGGGCCCGCGUUGGAUUAGCUAGUUGGUAGGGUAAAAGCCUACCAAGGCGACGAUCCAUAGCUGGUCUGAGAGGAUGAUCAGCCACACUGGGACUGAGACACGGCCCAGACUCCUACGGGAGGCAGCAGUGGGGAAUAUUGGACAAUGGGCGAAAGCCUGAUCCAGCAAUGCCGCGUGAGUGAUGAAGGCCUUAGGGUUGUAAAGCUCUUUUUCCCGGGAUGAUAAUGACAGUACCGGGAGAAUAAGCGCCGGCUAACUCCGUG